AUUGAACGCUGGCGGCAUGCCUUACACAUGCAAGUCGAACGGCAGCACGGGUGCUUGCACCUGGUGGCGAGUGGCGAACGGGUGAGUAAUACAUCGGAACAUGUCCUGUAGUGGGGGAUAGCACGGCGAAAGCCGGAUUAAUACCGCAUACGAUCCACGGAUGAAAGCGGGGGACCUUCGGGCCUCGCGCUAUAGGGUUGGCCGAUGGCUGAUUAGCUAGUUGGUGGGGUAAAGGCAUACCAAGGCGACGAUCAGUAGCUGGUCUGAGAGGACGACCAGCCACACUGGGACUGAGACACGGCCCAGACUCCUACGGGAGGCAGCAGUGGGGAAUUUUGGACAAUGGGCGAAAGCCUGAUCCAGCAAUGCCGCGUGUGUGAAGAAGGCCUUCGGGUUGUAAAGCACUUUUGUCCGGAAAGAAAUCCUUGACUCUAAUACAGUCGGGGGAUGACGGUACCGGAAGAAUAAGCACCGGCUAACUACGUG
rnacentral:rRNA from 1 species